AUAUCAGUAAGCGGAGGAAAAGAAACUAACCAGGAUUCCCCUAGUAACGGCGAGUGAAGCGGGAAGAGCUCAAAUUUAAAAUCUGGGGGCUUUAGGUGGCCCUCCGAAUUGUAGUUUGAAGUGGCGUUGCUCUAGUAGCGGGGGUCCGCGCGGGUCCAAGUCCCUUGGAACAGGGCGUCAGAGAGGGUGACAACCCCGUAUUCUGGCCCGCUCCGCCUUUUGCCCGCUACGUCUACGAACGCGCCCACAAAGAGUCGGGUUGCUUGGGAAUGCAGCCCAAAAUGGGUGGUAAACCUCAUCUAAGGCUAAAUAACGGCGAGAGACCGAUAGCGAACAAGUACCGUGAGGGAAAGAUGAAAAGAACUUUGAAAAGAGAGUUAAAAAGUACGUGAAAUUGUUAAAAGGGAAACGCUUGAAAGCCAGUGAACCCCAAACAAAGAUAUUAUGCGGCGGGGGGCUCAACCGGCGGGGCAAGGCGAGGGGCUCAACACCCCUUGCCCCCCGACGGUGUAUUUCCCACCGUUCGCGGGGCCAACAUCAGCCUUUAUCCCGGCUGUAAAAGGGGGAUCUGGGAAGGUAGGCCUUGGGAGGAUCUCAACCAUCCUCCCUCGGCUGUUUAUAGCCCGGUCCUCAGAAACACAGGUCGGGGAGGCUGAGGAAUUUGUCACACACCACCCUUUUAGGAGGCCCUCGCUCCUGGUUCGGUCGGG
rnacentral:rRNA from 1 species